rnacentral:rRNA from 1 species
UUUCGACACACUAUCAUUAACUGAAUCCAUAGGUUAAUGAGGCGAACCGGGGGAACUGAAACAUCUAAGUACCUGAAGGAAGAGAAAGAAAUUCGAUUCCGUAAGUAGCGGCGAGCGAACGCGGAUUAGCCCAAACCAAUAAAGUUUUCUUUAUUGGGGUUGCGGACAUAUCAUAACGAAGAGGUAUCGUAAUUGCAGAGGUUUGGAAAGACCCACCACAGAAGGUAAUAGUCCUGUAUGUUAAACGAGAAGACUUCAGAUAUGAUCCAGAGUACCACGGGACACGUGAAACCCUGUGGGAAGCAGGAGGGACCACCCUCCAAGGCUAAAUACUACCUAGUGACCGAUAGCGUAUAGUACCGUGAGGGAAAGGUGAAAAGAACCCCGGGAGGGGAGUGAAAUAGAACCUGAAACCCUGCACUUACAAGCUGUGGAAGCACAUUUCUUGUGUGACCGCGUACUUUUUGUAGAACGGGCCAACGAGUUACGUUAAGUAGCAAGGUUAAGCACUUAAGGUGCGGAGCCGUAGCGAAAGCGAGUUUUAACUGAGCGUUCAGUUAUUUGACGUAGAC